GCUUAACACAUGCAAGUCGAGGGGUAUAGUUCUUCGGAAUUAGAGACCGGCGCACGGGUGCGUAACGCGUAUGCAAUCUACCUUUUACAGAGGGAUAGCCCAGAGAAAUUUGGAUUAAUACCUCAUAGCAUUGCAGAAUGGCAUCAUUCAGCAAUUAAAGUCACAACGGUAAAAGAUGAGCAUGCGUCCCAUUAGCUAGUUGGUAAGGUAACGGCUUACCAAGGCUACGAUGGGUAGGGGUCCUGAGAGGGAGAUCCCCCACACUGGUACUGAGACACGGACCAGACUCCUACGGGAGGCAGCAGUGAGGAAUAUUGGACAAUGGGCGCAAGCCUGAUCCAGCCAUGCCGCGUGCAGGAUGACGGUCCUAUGGAUUGUAAACUGCUCUUAUACGAGAAGAAACACUGCUUCGUGAAGCAGCUUGACGGUAUCGUAAGAAUAAGGAUCGGCUAACUCCGUGCCAGCAGCCGCGGUAAUACGGAGGAUCCAAGCGUUAUCCGGAAUCAUUGGGUUUAAAGGGUCCGUAGGCGGUUUAAUAAGUCAGUGGUGAAAGCCCAUCGCUCAACGGUGGAACGGCCAUUGAUACUGUUAAACUUGAAUUAUUAGGAAGUAACUAGAAUAUGUAGUGUAGCGGUGAAAUGCUUAGAGAUUACAUGGAAUACCAAUUGCGAAGGCAGGUUACUACUAAUGGAUUGACGCUGAUGGACGAAAGCG
rnacentral:rRNA from 1 species